rnacentral:rRNA from 1 species
UACAGAGGUCCCAAGCGUUGUUCGGAUUCACUGGGCGUAAAGGGUGCGUAGGUGGCGAGGUAAGUCGGAUGUGAAAUCUCCAAGCUUAACUUGGAAAUGGCAUUGGAAACUACCUUGCUUGAGGGUCGGAGGGGGGACUGGAAUUCAUGGUGUAGCAGUGAAAUGCGUAGAGAUCAUGAGGAAGACCAGUGGCGAAGGCGGGUCUCUGGACAGUUCCUGACACUGAGGCACGAAGGCCAGGGGAGCAAACGGG